rnacentral:rRNA from 1 species
CCUACGGGUGGCAGCAGUGGGGAAUAUUGGACAAUGGGCGAAAGCCUGAUCCAGCCAUGUCGCGUGUGUGAAGUAGGCCUUCGGGUUGUAAAGCACUUUCAGUGGGGAAGAAAGCCUUGGGGCUAAUACCCUCGAGGAAGGACAUCACCCACAGAAGAAGCACCGGCUAACUCCGUGCCAGCAGCCGCGGUAAUACGGAGGGUGCGAGCGUUAAUCGGAAUUACUGGGCGUAAAGCGCGCGUAGGCGGUCUGAUAAGCCGGUUGUGAAAGCCCCGGGCUCAACCUGGGAACGGCAUCCGGAACUGUCAGGCUAGAGUGCAGGAGAGGAAGGUAGAAUUCCCGGUGUAGCGGUGAAAUGCGUAGAGAUCGGGAGGAAUACCAGUGGCGAAGGCGGCCUUCUGGACUGACACUGACGCUGAGGUGCGAAAGCGUGGGUAGCAAACAGGAUUAGAUACCCGAGUAGUC